CACUAGGGAGCACUGUAGCAGGAAUCCUUUGCUCUUGUUCAGGUCGCCGCUGAAUGGCUCCGGGGUGGGCAAAACAACGUCUCUAGGCAUGGGAGACCUGGAAGAAGCUGCAGAGCCAACAGGUCGAUGGAGAGCGGAGCAGAUGGAGGGGAGAUUGGAUGAGCCCACAGAGAUUGAGUUUGGCUGAGUGUCGGGUUUCGACUUGAGAGCUCCAGAGGGUGGACAGGCAGGUGAGCAGCGGAGGAUGGAUCCAGGAGGACUGAGAAGAGAACCGGCUUGGAACUGCAAGGCUUCUAGGGAACAAGGAAGACAAGGAGGAAAUCCACUCCUCUAAAUACUGCUCCCUGAUUGCGUCCAAUUGGAACCAGCUGGAGGCUCUUCUGGGCUGGAGACUCUGAGGAGGAAAGGUAAGAGAAACCCUAACACAGCUCAGCACACAAUCCUGAGGGCCCAACAG